GGUUAUCCUAGACUACUUGGGGACAAUAUCAUCAGUUUCUUGCAUACUGCAAUGCAAGUUCAAAAAGCCAGUUUCUUAUUAUCUCUGUGUUGACCUAACUGCCAAGAAUCAUAAAAGGAUGCACCUAAUGAGGGAGCUGCACAGAUGUGGAACAACUUCCAGAACAGUCAUCCAAGCGUUUUGGUGUGGUACCACUAAGCUGUCAGAGCAAGAUAGCUGGGAUGUCUAGUCCCUAGGCCAAUGGUAAAUCACAAAUUGGCUGAUGUUCAAUGGGAAGCAUCAGACAAUACCAAUGUCCAGUAGUAAUGUUUGAUUGUUCAGACUAUGAUAUUUCCUUAGGUUCACCUUGACCUUCACUGCCCGUGAUGAGUCAGAAACUGAAGAAGAUGAUCCCUUGGACACAGAAGAUGCUUCCUCUAUCCUCAUCGCUGCACUACAGUCUUUUGGCCAAGCUCUGGUGAAUGACAACGAAGAAAAAGAUAUCGUUAAAGAGGUAGAUGUCUUCUUGCGUCCUACCCUAAAUGACAGGGGCUCUCCUAUCAGCAAAAUAGCUACUCUGGAGGCGCAGAUGACGAUAGCAAGAGACCGUAUCUUGAGGAUAAGUGAAUGACUAUGAGGUCUACAUGUUAAGUAUAGAAACCUGACGAGGACAAGUGUGCGCUUUGCUACCACUUCUUUGCCAGCCGGAGUGGCCUGUUUUCAGUGAUGAUCAUGGAUCAUGGUGUACAUGCAUGUAUAUGUUGUGUUCUGAUAGAAUGUACCACAAGAUUUUCUUG